rnacentral:rRNA from 1 species
GCCUUCGGGUUGUAAAGCUCUUUUAGUCGGAAAGAAAGAGUUGCAAUGAAUAAUUGUGAUUUAUGACGGUACCGACAGAAAAAGCACCGGCUAACUACGUGCCAGCAGCCGCGGUAAUACGUAGGGUGCGAGCGUUAAUCGGAAUUACUGGGCGUAAAGGGUGCGCAGGCGGUCUUGCAAGUCAGAUGUGAAAGCCCCGGGCUUAACCUGGGAAUUGCGUUUGAAACUACAAGGCUAGAGUGCAGCAGAGGGGAGUGGAAUUCCAUGUGUAGCAGUGAAAUGCGUAGAGAUGUGGAAGAACACCGAUGGCGAAGGCAGCUCCCUGGGUUGACACUGACGCUCAUGCACGAAAGCGUGGGGAGCAAACAGGAUUAGAUACCCUGGUAGUCCACGCCCUAAACGAUGUCAACUAGUUGUCGGAUCUAAUUAAGGAUUUGGUAACGUAGCUAACGCGUGAAGUUGACCGCCUGGGGAGUACGGUCGCAAGAUUAAAACUCAAA